GGGUUUGUGCCGGUCAAAUUGACCAAAGUUUGAGUGAAAUUUAUUAAUAUUUAAUCAAAUAAAAAAAUAAAUAAAAAUGUCAUCGAAAAUAACUUUUAAUCUACUUUAAGAUGUAAUUUUGCAGUUUUUUAAAAUAAUGAAAGAAAGAGACCAACAAAAAUAGAAAUGGGACAGAGACGGAGGGUAUACUAAAUUCCCUUAACACGAAGCUAAGUACAAUAAAUUGCAUUAAUAAAAGUUUAAUAAAGCGAUACUCCUAUUUAAUAAGUAUAUAUGCACAAAAACUGCUGAAAUUCUGCAGCGAGCAAUACAGUAAAAUCCUGACCGAAAAAACAGAAAAUAUAGCACAAGGCUUGAAUCUCAGGCCCUCAGUACUUUCUCAUAAUUCAAAUGUUCAUCAACAGUACAUACGAAAUCAGAGAAAAGAGUGUCGAGAAUUCACAGGAAAGUUCGAAACUGGGAUCGGAGCUUUGCUUCCACUUGGUUUGCUUUUGGACUUGUAGUUGGAUGAUAAAGAAGGAUCCUUCUCUUUCACAUUUUCUUUAUCGUUUACUCGCGCAGAUGAUGAGGACUCGGUGCAACCCAAGAUUCCUAAGAGAAAACUCAUUUUACGCUGAAAUAUAUUUCAAGCAGUUCGGAAACGGAGAAAGAUAAAGGCUGAGUGUAUUUUGUAGUUUGUGUGUUUGAGUGUUUAGCUUAUCUCUUAGCUUUAUAUAUAGGCAUUUCGUAGCUUCAUGGAAGUUUCUUUGAAUUUGCUCAUCACGUCAUGAAAAUUAACGAUUUUGUUAAUAAAAUAUAAAAUUGGUCACCCUAGCUAUUUGGUACUAUGGUUGUGACAGAUUUGUAAGUAUUUAGUACACUGUACA
rnacentral:lncRNA from 1 species